GUCUUCUUAGGAUGAUCAAAAACCCACCCUGGAUUGCUCACCCAGUACAGAAAGCGGAGGAUGCCUAUUGUUUUAUGGCUUCAUCUCAAGCAUGGCGCAGCCUUAAGACUCUGCGUGGAAUGUCCAUGUGCAUCUGGUCAGAGCCUCUCUGCCUCCAGUACUGUGAGUUGGAGAAACCUUUCUUCUUUAUAACUCAUUCAGUCUGAAGUGUUUGGUGAUAGCAAAAGGAAACAGAAUGAAUGGAAGAGGACAGGGGAGUAACACGUGGCAGGAGAUACAUGUGGUGAGAGAGUCGGAAACACAGGGAUCUAAGCCAGCUCCUGAGACACCCGUGGAUGGAGACCAGGAGACAAGAUGCUCUGCCCCAUAGGAAGAAUGGAAGUUUGGGGAGAUGCCCCAUCAGGGGUGUCCAGAGGCUAUGACCCUAGAGGGCAUCUCUGUCCCCAGUAAAGUUUGUUUGCCGAAGAGCUUCCAUGUCUUUAACUUGAUGUGAGCCAAGAGGCUGAAUUCGUUGCAAACUCAACAUGAAAUGAUUUCAAAAAACAAGCUUCCCCAGAAACAGGAGCAGACAGGCGGGCCUCAUGGUCAUCAUGAAGCAAAAUGGUUGUAACCAUUGACUGCUUCUCAAAUACGCCGUCCUCAGAGAAAGACCUCCUGCAAGAUUUGCCUCUCUACACCUUUGUCGAUCUAUACUUCAGUGGUGACACAGACCAGGGCACUCUGAAUGUUCCAUGGAUUCUGGGGGCCAGGUGGACAGCAUCAUCUGCUUUGUAGCCAACCACCUCCCAGUGCAUUGGUUAUAGGAUGCAAGCUCCUGACUGAGAGGAGAGGCAUGCUCACAGUAUUGGUGCAGACCACAGAUCUUACCUCGGGUGAGCGCUCUCAGCAUGAGUUGGCGGGUUUGUUGGUUGUGUAAAAGCUCACUCGUGUGUGGGUUGACUGUUCUAGCUUCUGGUCUAAUUUGAUGAAAGACACUGGAUGAUUUUAUUUGCUUAUUCAUCAGCGUGUUUCAUCCUGAAGACAGAUAAAAAGGUUGGGUGAGCAGGAAAACACCCACCAUGACGUUAUUCGGCCAUUCAUAGAGUGUAUAUGGGGUCAGCAUCCGCCAUACUCACAAAUGAUGCUGGCCCCCAACCCUGGAGAAGUUUCUUUGCAUAUGGAUGUACAGUCUACAAUUGAAGGAAUAAUUACCAGUGCAGAACAGUGCUGUGAAGGUUCUCAAAAUGGAGUUGUGGGGACAGCCUGUGGGAUGGCCUGCUAGGAGGUAUAGUGGGGGAGACUCUAGGGAGGAAAGCCAUCGCUGAGAUUUGCCUGUGAGAAAGCAGUUUGUCUUGUAGAGAGCUGCAGGAGAAGCAGAAAAAGAGCAUGGGUGGAGGCCUGGAGGUGGGAAAACCUUUCUGCGCUUUAAGUACUACGGUAAGACCCACGAGCCUUGUUCUUUUCCUUAACUACCCCUCCCCCCCAUCUUUCUUUCUCCUCUCUCAGAGUAGGCUUCUCCUCCACAGGGUCAGAUAGUCUGCUCAAAUUAAGGAGCUACCAUGCAGAGUGACAGCUAGUGCUACUGGAGCAAUGGCAGGUUUAUGGCCAUGCUCAGAGAAGGAACAACCUCAGAUGUGACUGAAUUCAGUGCACAUGCCAGAGCAACACUGUGGAAAAAACAACAUAUAUACUUGUGUAUACACACACACACACACAGUGCUCCCUAAGGCGUCCAAGGUGAGAUAAGUGUGAGAAAGGCUGGUCUAAACAUUAAUCAGUAAGUUUAUUUACUGCAGCUCCAUUCAGAGCUAUGAAGUUGCUGAUAUGCCCUGGGAAUGUUGAGUGGGAUGUGGCCAGCAGCAUAGCCCAAGUGCCUUUGACCACAGAAUCCUCCUUCAGGGGCAUUUAUUAACACAGCUCGGAUGGAGUACUCUAAGGAACUUGGUCUGAGAAAUGUUGAUCGUGGCAAAGUGUUAUUUAUAGAGAGGGAAACAGAACCCCAGAAAGGGAGAGGGACUAGAAUAAGGUCACAUAGUUUUUGUCGUGGUAUAAGCCAGGUCAUCCAUUCCGUCCUGAAUGUGCCUGUUAUAUCACCCUAUGGAUGACGUACGCUCACCCCUGACGUGACCCCUGAUGCUCAUUGCCAUUGUUAUGGAAUGCAAGUGGCCAGCCAGAGAUAUCCAGUUUUCUGAGGGGCUGCUCACACCCGAAGGAUAACAAUAAGUGUGGAGGUAUCCCUAGGUGACAUGCGAUCUGUAGAAACUGCAAAUGCUAUGGAGAGAUGGUGUCCUGGUAGGUUUCUUUCAGCUUGACACAAACCAAAACAUAUUGGGGAAGAGGAAUUCUUAAUUU
ensembl:antisense Gm42962 predicted gene 42962